GCACGAAGUUAGCCGGGGCUUAUUCUGCGGGUACCGUCAUCAUCGUCCCCGCCAAAAGAGCUUUACAACCCGAAGGCCUUCAUCACUCACGCGGCAUGGCUGGAUCAGGGUUGCCCCCAUUGUCCAAUAUUCCCCA
rnacentral:rRNA from 1 species